AUCUAGCUGACGAAUCCCAAAUAGGACGAAACGCGCGUCAAACUAGAU
rnacentral:hammerhead_ribozyme from 1 species